rfam:Gossypium hirsutum cultivar TM-1 chromosome 21, whole genome shotgun sequence
UAUUAAAAAUUUCAUUCAUUUGUACUAUUGAAAACUAGUGUGAUUGAUAGAAUAACCAAAAAGUGAAACGUGACAUAUCAUGUAUACCUCAUGCUAAUAUACAGAGACUAAUUUUUAACAACAAAAAUGGAUGAAAUUUUUAACA